UACGAGGGGGGCGAGCGUUGUUCGGAAUCACUGGGCGUAAAGCGCACGUAGGCGGAUUGUUAAGUCAGGGGUGAAAUCCUGGAGCUCAACUCCAGAACUGCCUUUGAUACUGGCAAUCUCGAGUCCGGGAGAGGUGAGUGGAACUCCGAGUGUAGAGGUGAAAUUCGUAGAUAUUCGGAGGAACACCAGUGGCGAAGGCGGCUCACUGGCCCGGUACUGACGCUGAGGUGCGAAAGCGUGGGGAGCAAACAGG
rnacentral:rRNA from 1 species